GACGAACGCUGGCGGCGUGCCUAAUACAUGCAAGUUGAGCGCUGAAGGUUGGUACUUGUACCAACUGGAUGAGCAGCGAACGGGUGAGUAACGCGUGGGGAAUCUGCCUUUGAGCGGGGGACAACAUUUGGAAACGAAUGCUAAUACCGCAUAAAAACUUUAAACACAAGGUUUAAGUGUGAAAGAUGCAAUUGCAUCACUCAAAGAUGAUCCCGCGUUGUAUUAGCUAGUUGGUGAGGUAAAGGCUCACCAAGGCGAUGAUACAUAGCCGACCUGAGAGGGUGGUCGGCCACCUUGGGACUGUGACACGGCCCAAACUCCUACGGGUGGCAGCAGUAGGGAAUCUUCGGCCAUGGACGAAAGUCUGACCGAGCAACGCCGCGUGAGUGAAGAAGGUUUUCGGAUCGUAAAACUCUGUUGGUAGAGAAGAACGUUGGUGAGAGUGGAAAGCUCAUCAAGUGACGGUAACUACCCAGAAAGGGACGGCUAACUACGUG
rnacentral:rRNA from 1 species